UACGAAGGGGCUAGCGUUGUUCGGAAUUACUGGGCGUAAAGGGCGCGUAGGCGGCCUGUUAAGUCGAACGUGAAAUCCCCGGGCUCAACCCGGGAACUGCGUCCGAUACUGGCAGGCUUGAAUCCGGGAGAGGGAUGCGGAAUUCCAGGUGUAGCGGUGAAAUGCGUAGAUAUCUGGAGGAACACCGGUGGCGAAGGCGGCAUCCUGGACCGGCAU
rnacentral:rRNA from 1 species